CCUCCUUCACUUUGCUUAAAGAGUUUUAGUCUCUAGAACUCGACUAGUCCUGUAUCGGUCAGGCUUCUCCAAGAACUUGACUUGACCAUCUUAGAACUUCCUCUAGACUUCUGAAUCUCCUUCUUUAGGCCCUUCACAAUCCUUUUCUAGAUCAGAUAAGGUUUUUUCUUAAAUCCCAAAGCCUUAUCCUAAAACUAAGAUAGGUUGUAAGAAAGAAGGGAGAGCAACGAAGAGG
rnacentral:lncRNA from 1 species